rnacentral:rRNA from 1 species
UACCUGGUUGAUCCUGCCAGUAGUCAUAUGCUUGUCUCAAAGAUUAAGCCAUGCAUGUCUCAGUACAAGCCUUGCCUUAGAGCGAAACCGCGGAUGGCUCAUUAAAUCAGUCGCGAUUUACUGGAUGUCGUGACACCCUUUACUUGGAUAACUGUGGUAAUUCUAGAGCUAAUACAUGCAACCGAGCUCCGACCCCGUCCUUCUUUGACGAGGAGGCGGGGGAAGGGCGCACUUAUUAGAUCACAAAACCGGUGGUGACGACGGACGACGACUCGUUCGCGUCCUCGCACGUCCAAAAACUAAAACUCGUGAUGACUCUGAAUAACCACGCCGAGCGCUAAGGUCUCCGUACCGGCGCCGUAUCCUUCGAGUGUCUGCCUUAUCAGCUCUCGAUUGUAGGAUAUUCGCCUACAAUGGCUGUAACGGGUAACGGGGAAUCAGGGUUCGAUUCCGGAGAGGGAGCCUGAGAAACGGCUACCACAUCUAAGGAAGGCAGCAGGCACGCAAAUUACCCACUCCCGGCUCGGGGAGGUAGUGACGAGAAAUAACGAUGUGGGGACUCAUCCGAGGCCUCGCAAUCGGAAUGAGUUCACUUUAAAUCCUUGUACGAGGAUCGAUUGGAGGGCAAGUCUGGUGCCAGCAGCCGCGGUAAUUCCAGCUCCAAUAGCGUAUAUUAUAGUUGUUGCGGUUAAAAAGCUCGUAGUUGAGUUUCGAGUUCGGCCCGGAAUCCCAUCCCGGACGCGUCUUGGCCCCCCGCCGAGCGCACCGGUACAUAAAAAACGUUUCGACGAUGAUCUUUUUUCUUCGAAUCAUGGUACUUCCCGUGCCCCUUCUCUCUCCCGUCCGCCCAGUCGUUUCUGACUCGCGCGGGCUCUGAAGGCGGCGUGCGCGGUCAUAGGCUUCGGCCAUAGGCUCGUUGCAGGCUCGUUGGCGUUCGCGUCACGCAGCCGUUGCGGCAGCCUGUGUCGUCGUUGUUCGGGCCGCGGUUAAACGCGCCGUCUUUACCUCGCGCGACCGCGUCUGCGCGCGCGGCGGGAGGCUAAAGAGUUUAGGAGCGUUACAUGCGGGUGCUAUCGCGAGGUAAUUAGAAUCGUUGUCUCGUUACGUCGUACCUCCACUCGCGCGGGUAAGUCGCGCCCGGGUGGUUCUCUUUCCGACGCCGAAUUACUUAAAAGCCGUCGGCCUUCACGGGGUGCUCUUUGCCGAGUGUCCCGCGAUGCCGACACGUUCACUUUGAAAAAAUUAGAGUGCUCAAAGCGGGCAAAUAAAUUAAAAACGCCCGAAUGGACUCGCAUGGAAUGAUGGAACAGGACCUCGGUUCUGCGAUUUUUUUCAUCGGUUUUUCUGAAUCCGAGGUAAUGAUUAAAGGGAACUGACGGGGGCAUUAGUAUUGCGGCGCUAGAGGUGAAAUUCUUGGACCGUCGCAAGACUACCUACUGCGAAAGCAUUUGCCAAGAAUGUUUUCAUUAAUCAAGAACGAAAGUUAGAGGAUCGAAGGCGAUCAGAUACCGCCCUAGUUCUAACCGUAAACGAUGCUAACUGGCGAUCCGCUUGAGUCAUACCCACGACUGAGCGGGAAUCCCCCGGGAAACCGAAGUCUUCGAGUUCCGGGGGAAGUAUGGUUGCAAAAUCGAAACUUAAAGGAAUUGACGGAAGGGCACCACCAGGAGUGGAGCCUGCGGCUUAAUUUGACUCAACACGGGGAACCUCACCAGGCCCGGACACCGGAAGGAUUGACAGAUUGAGAGCUCUUUCUCGAUUCGGUGGAUGGUGGUGCAUGGCCGUUCUUAGUUGGUGGAGCGAUCUGUCUGGUUGAUUCCGAUAACGAACGAGAUUCUGCCCUACUAACUAGUCGGCAGAUCGUCUCCCGACACUGGUUUAAACGUUCCCGGACCGUGGGCCGCACCGGCGUCUCUUCUUACUCCCGUUUAGGGUUUUUUAAACCGGUUCGACGUCGUCGUCCAAGUUCGCGGCGUGCGUGUUGUCGCUGGUUGUCGUCCUCUCGGGUCGGCGGCUGGCGCGGGCGUACGUUGUUUGUUCUGGGCUCCGACGGCGGCUGGGCCGGGGCUUUACUCGGGGGUUCGGGGCGUCGUAGGUCCCGGGCGGGGGCUACCUAGCGCGGGGCGUCUGUCGCAACUUCUUCUUAGCGGGAUCGGCGGUGUCUAGCCGCACGAGAUGGAGCAAUAACAGGGUCUGUGAUGCCCUUAGAUGUUCUGGGCCGCACGCGCGCUACAAUGAAGGGCUCAGCGUGCUAUCCCCCUCCGAAAGGAGCGGGUAACCCGAUGAAACCCCUCCUCGAUAGGGAUUGGGGAUUGUAAGUGUUUCCCAUGAACGAGGAAUUCCUAGUAAGCGCGGGUCGUGCAGCUCGCGUUGAUUACGUCCCUGCCCUUUGUACACACCGCCCGUCGCUACUACCGAUUGAGUGAUUCAGUGAGGGCAUCGGACUGGCGCCCUCGGUAACUUCGGUCACCGUUCCUCGCUUCUUUCGCGAAGCGGGGCGUCCUUAGGCAAUACCCCGGGCUGACGGAAAGAUGUCCGAACUUGAUUACUUAGAGGAAGUAAAAGUCGUAACAAGGUUUCCGUAGGUGAACUGCGGAAGGAUCAUUA